rnacentral:tRNA from 1 species
GCAGUUGUGGCUCAGAGGUCAGAGCACUGGCUGCUUUUCCAGAGGUCCUGAGUUCCAUUCCCAGCAGCCACA